rnacentral:rRNA from 1 species
AUUGAACGCUGGCGGCAGGCCUAACACAUGAAAGUCGAACGAGUGGCGGACGGGUGAGUAAUGUCUGGGAAACUGCCUGAUGGAGGGGGAUAACUACUGGACACGGUAGCUAAUACCGCAUACCACAGGAUGUGCCCAGAUGGGAUGAGCGAGUAGGUGGGGUAAAGGCUCACAUAGGCGACUAUCCCUAGCUGGUCUGAGAGGAGGACCAACCACACUGGAACUGAGACACGGUCCAGACUCCUACGAGAGGCAGCAGUGGGGAAUAGUGCACAAUGGGCGCAAGACUGAUGCAGACAUGCCGCGUGUAUGAAGAAGGCCUGCGGGUUGUAAAGUACUUUCAGCGGGGCGGCGUUACCCGCAGAAGAAGCACCGGCUAACGCCGUGCCAGCAGCCGCGGUAAUAC